ACGCACGCUGGCGGCAUGCCUAACACCUGCCAGUCGCACGCGACCUUCGGGUCUAGUGGCGCACGGGUGCGUAACGCGUGGGAACCUGCCCUUAGGUUCGGAAUAACUCCCCGAAAGGGGUGCUAAUACCGGAUGAUGUCUUCGGACCAAAGAUUUAUCGCCUUUGGAUGGGCCCGCGUUGGAUUAGCUAGUUGGUAGGGUAAAAGCCUACCAAGGCGACGAUCCAUAGCUGGUCUGAGAGGAUGAUCAGCCACACUGGGACUGAGACACGGCCCAGACUCCUACGGGAGGCAGCAGUGGGGAAUAUUGGACAAUGGGCGAAAGCCUGAUCCAGCAAUGCCGCGUGAGUGAUGAAGGCCUUAGGGUUGUAAAGCUCUUUUACCCGGGAUGAUAAUGACAGUACCGGGAGAAUAAGCUCCGGCUAACUCCGUG
rnacentral:rRNA from 1 species